GCUUCAUUCAAUGCAACAACAAACUGAUGAGCUUAUUUUCUUCAAAAUAACUAAACAACACACAAAAUGCUCAUCGUAUUCCUUUGCAUUACUUUUAACUCUAUUCUGGUUUCAGGUUCCUCUCUCAGUGACAAGGUUUACAUGAGUCCAGCUGACAUAAUCAAACAACCUGAAGAAACAGCCAAAAUCAAAUGUUCACACAGUAUUGACACCUAUGAUCGAGUCCUCUGGUACAAGCAAACGAAGGACGGUCAACUACAGUUCCUGGGAUACAUGUAUCAAGACAAUAAAAACCUAGAGCCUUCUAUUGUAGAUGUGAAGAUGGAUGGGAAUGCAGCUAAAGACCAGACCUGCACAUUAACAGUUGAAGGACUGAGCCAGAACAGCAGUGCAGUGUACUUCUGUGCUGCUAGUUUACACAGUGCUUCAUAUCUCUGCUGCUCAGUACAAAAACCUCCUCAGCACACAUUGUUUAAUCUCCACGUUGAAGCUCAAAGCCCCUUGCACCUGUGUUCCUUCCUCUCAUUAGGUGGCAGACAAGAUGGUUAUAAUGUUAAGACGAUGAGGAAGCACUAGACACCACCUAAUGACUUCCUGUUUAUUUGCUGAUAAUAACAAUAUUUGCUCAAAGUGGA